UGUCCUAUCAGCUCGUCACAACUUGCCCUAAUUUCUUUUGAGAUCGCUUCUUUUCAGCGUAACUCUGCCCUAAUCUCAACGCAGGUUUCUUCUUGGUUCCUUGUCUCUCUUUUCUUGUUGCUUAUUUGUAUCUUGAAAAUAACUAAUCUAAUUGAGAAAACAUUUGAAAUCAAGACAUUUGGCUUUGUGGAUUUCCAUCGCAGCUCUGCCCUAAACACGGAGUAGGUGUCUUCUUCUGCAAUUGCUCUAUUUCUUCCAUAAUUGUAUUGAUGACAUAUUUUCUUAUUUUAUUCAAGUUACUGCGCUUCUUCUUCCUCGUUUAUAUCAUUAGAUAGGUUAUAAGUUUCAUAAUCCAGUCUUUUUCUUCUGUACAAUCAAUGGACAGAUUAUUGAAUUGAGAUUUCAAAUAGUUGAUUGAUUCUCUGGAGUGUAUUAUGUGUUAGAAGAUUCAUAUGUUAUACAGAGUGCAUAUUGAAUUUGGAAAAAACAAUUAUUUCGUGAACAAAAUACUAGAUUUAUGUCUUUGAUGUUGAGAUUUUGCGGACAAGUCCUGUUAAGUCUACUAUUUUUUCAGAACUUGAGACCAUCUAUGUGAGCAGGCUUAGUAGAGUUUUAUACAAAGGAAUUAAUUAUAAAAUUUAUAUUUUUUCAGUACAGCAUAAUCUAACAAACAGUCAAUUGAAAAUUAUAAUUGUUGUUUUCUCGUUGUGAACCAAGUCCCUAUUGCUAGUUCGAUUGCAUAACUCAAAUUUUAAUGAUAAAUUUGGACGAGAUCAUCAUAACUAUCUUCCUCCUCGUCAAUUUUUUCACCAUAUUCAAUUAGGAUGUCUUUGAUACAUAUAACUUUAAAAAUAAGAUAUAUUUGCAUCUCCUUAAGAAAAGUGUUCAGUGUGGAAUGUGUGAAAAGAAGAGCAAAAGUUACAGAACUAGUUUCAAUGUUUAUGUUGAGUAUCUCGACAUCCACAUGAAAAUAGGGGAGGUGAGUCUCUCAAAAGGAUAUAAUGUUGCAUCCAUGUAGGUUCUUAAGUAGGAUGUCUUUGAUACAUAUAACUUUAAAAGUAAGAUAUAUUUGCAUCUCCUUAAGAAAAGUGUUCAGUGUGGAAUGUGUGAAAAGAAGAGCAAAAGUUACAGAACUAGUUUCAAUGUUUAUGUUGAGUAUCUCGACAUCCACAUGAAAAUAGGGGAGGUGAGUCUCUCAAAAGGAUAUAAUGUUGCAUCCAUGUAGGUUCUUAAGUAGGAUGUCUUUGAUACAUAUAACUUUAAAAGUAAGAUAUAUUUGCAUCUCCUUAAGAAAAGUGUUCAGUGUGGAAUGUGUGAAAAGAAGAGCAAAAGUUACAGAACUAGUUUCAAUGUUUAUGUUGAGUAUCUCGACAUCCACAUGAAAAUAGGGGAGGUGAGUCUCUCAAAAGGAUAUAAUGUUGCAUCCAUGUAGGUUCUUAAGUAGGAUGUCUUUGAUACAUAUAACUUUAAAAGUAAGAUAUAUUUGCAUCUCCUUAAGAAAAGUGUUCAGUGUGGAAUGUGUGAAAAGAAGAGCAAAAGUUACAGAACUAGUUUCAAUGUUUAUGUUGAGUAUCUCAACAUCCACAUGAAAAGAGGGGAGCUGAGUUUCUCAAAAGUAUAUAAUGUUGCAUCCAAGUAGGUUCUUAAGUAGAUUUAUAGAGAUGGAACCAGUAUGCUCUAUAUAGCAUCACUGUAGAUUUAUAAGCAAGGGAAAUAUGGAUGUGUUAUAUUUGUUGCUUCACUGUAUCAUUUGUUUGAUAUUCUAGUGGUGCUAAAUUUAAAGAUGUACGAUCAUGAUGAAUCUUGAAAAUAAACAAUUACUUUAUUAUUUUUUAGAAUUUAGUUCUAUAUGAGAUCAAGAAAUUGAAACAAGAUAUUUUAAAAUAUACUGCUUGGAAUUUAUAUUAAUAGUUCGUUUUGUAUCCUUUUACUUCAGAACUAUCUCCCUAAAAUUUUUAUUUGUGAAUUAAGAAAGUCUGAAUAUACGAUAUAAGGAGAGCUUUGUUUGAGAAGGAAUUGUGUAUUAUAAAGUAUAUUUAUAGAGCAUACUGGUUCCAUCUAGGUUCUAUUGAACUAGAAUUAUUUUUGUAUAUAGUUAAAUCUGCUUUUGUUUGAAAUCUAUUAUUCAGUAUUAAAUUGACUUGGUAGAAUAGUUGAAUGAACUUAAAUGAUAAAUUAGAAUAUUAAAAGCGAGUGCAUUGUCUCUUAAGCGAGAAGCGAAAUGAAUUGUACUUUAAAUCGCUUUUCUUCCUUGAAGCGAGUCCAAAGUAAAAAGCGAGCCCUUGCUUCCGAAGUAUAGUCCACCAUAGCUCCCCAUAGAGCAGCCACCACUUCCUUCUUAAACUACUUCAAGUUUUUCCUUCUAAUCAUCUCCACUGUAAUCUUCAGUUCUCUUGCAGGUAGUGAGAUGUUGAACAAUUGUUUAAGUUCAGCUCUCAACAUUGCAUCAUAAUGAAAGUCUACAAUCAAGUGUUUGCUUGUCUCAUCAAUGGUGGAGAUGAGUAAACACUUGUUUGUAAACUAUAAUUUUUAACUCUCUUCCUAGUCAAGGAAGAGUCGAUAAUGAAAAACGAGUGCUUCAGGCCAACAUCUUCUUAAGCAACUUUUAAAUCUCUGCCUAGUUAGAGAAGAGGAUGAGAAAUGGGCAAAGGACUACUUUUAUUCUUAUCUUAUACAAACUAUUCCUCGGAAUUCUUCUUCCAUUGAGUGAAUCAUAUAGUUGUGAAAAUCAUAGUUUGAUGUAGGGUUGUGAUUUUGCCAUGAAUAAGGAGAGAAAGGUCAUAAACUAGUAAUCUACGAUAGAAAUUUUUAUCAUAUCUAGAGACAUUCAUGUGAUGGAAAAGAAAAUCAGUGAUACAUCACGACAUAUCUCAAAACGAUCCCUAAUUAAGAGUUAUUAAUGACUAGGACUUGCUACACAUCGUCUGGUCUUCUUGAUGAAAGAAAACAUUGUAGAAUAUUUUAUGUUUUCACUUGAAUUACAAUGCCUAUAUGGGAAUGUAACUCAACUUUCUCCAGUAAAUUGAUCAUGUUGAGGUCAGUACUAUCAGGAGACAAGUUGACACCUCUUAUGAUAUACGAAGUAAAUAUGAUACAUAUUUUCUCAUUCCAAACAAUAUGCAUCUAGGCUUAUCUACUUGCAGUGCCCUUAUACAUGAAAAUGUCUACAAUGCACUGGUUCUGUUUUCAGGUUUAAAUUUGUGGGUACCUCUCAGAUGACUUAUUUGGUUAUUUGGAUCAAUCACAUGUAUGACAUCGGC
rnacentral:lncRNA from 1 species